GAUAACUUUCCAGCGCUUAGAUAGUUUGCCUGAAACAAAGCUGGUUGGGCAUCACAUAAAAUGUAUUUCUCCCAAUUCCCAAACGCAGGUUGCUUGGGGCUAGACUUGUUAUAUACAUUCUUCACCUUCUCAUGGAUUUUGUCCAAACUACUCAUAGGGUUAUCGUUGACAUGUGUAACUUCUUUGACAUACUAGUAUACUACUGCGAUUUUUUAUAGAACUAGGUAGAAAGGCUAUUUAUCAAGAUGAUAGUAUCAUUCAGAAGAACUUGGUGCUUUCAGCUCUACUACCCUUGACUGUAGCUGCUAUUAGUUUGGAUAUGACAAAUAUAUUAAAAGGGCUCCACCUUUUCCUUUUGCUGCAUGCACAAUUUGGUUCACUGGUAGUGGUUGCAAUUGAAUUGUCUACAGAUUUGUUCCCUCUUCAAAAUUAUUUGGCAUAGUUUGCUUUGCUCAAGAUGAUUAUACUGCCCCUGUUUUUUUCUGAUUGGAAUGGGCUUGGCUACCAUGAGUCCAUGAUGACUUAGGCCCUGUUUGGAAGCACCCAAUUUUUAAGAAACUGGUUUAUAGAAAUUGAGGUGGUUCCAAAUGUACCAGUUUAUGACUCAGUUUAUAGAAAUUAGAUUCUCAGUUUCUUAAAAACUAAGAAGGUGGCCUCUCCUAGCUAAAUGUUAAAAACUGGUUUUUUAAAAACUGGGUUGCUUCUUAACGAGUCUUGGCAAAUAUUAUGCCAAACUUUGGGUAGUGAUUUGUUAUACAGAACGGUGGGUGGAAAUGAAACAUAUCUGGCAGGUUCCACUCAGUUUCUGACCAGUUUUCGACCCAAAGACUGGUCUGGUAUUAAUUGCCUGAAGCUGAGGUAUAGACUAAAGUUAAAUACAUGCAUUUUUGUAGUAUAUAUACUAAGGAUCGGGCCAAAUUUUUUGUUCUCUUGAAUCCUGGGUUCCCUCCUAUUUAGGUUUGGAUUGUAGAAUCACUGGUGCUGGUGCCAUUUUUUGUUCUCUUGAAAUGUAUGUUGCAACGUUGUAUUACUGCACCAUAUCAGUCGGAUUGCUGUUACAGUAGUAACUUGCAGUACAGUAUGUUCAAUUCGCUAGUAAUUAGCAGCUAGGUGACAUUAUUUGCUGUUGGCAUAACGUGGAGGAUCUAUGUUUCUUUUGUCUCGUGUUUCUUUGGGAUUCUUAUAGAUGGUGGAUGUGCAUGGGUGCUGACUACUGUUUGAACGAACUGGCCACGCCUUGGCUCUCAUUUUCUGCCAGCAUCGGAUGUUUUUGACUGACCCCAGGGCACCUUAUAUCUAUUGUUGUGAGGGUUAAAUUGUAAAAUUUCUGGCCCGUGGUUCAUUCCUUACCAACUAAUGCACUCAGGUGUAAAAGAAAAUUCCUGUAAUGUAUACACAAACAUUUAUAUACAAUUUUGCACUGUAAAUAUACUAAUAUUAGUUUCAAUGGAGUGCACCCACAAAUUAAUGUACCUGCCCAUGUAAAUAAUUUAUUUUAUUCUUAAAACAUUUUAAUAGAAAUUUCAUUGUAAGAAACCGAUGUUAGAUUCAGCGGUUCAUGACUACUAACUAACCUACCCGCUGGUGUAUGUAAAUUGUUGUAAUACAUUCGUAAGGCAUAUGAAGUUUCUGCUAUUAUUUAAACAUUUCUAUUUGAAAAAAAUAUAAUGUGCAGCGUUUAGCUAUAUUUUUGAGUAAUUUCGAUGCAACGUGUUUUUUUAAUUUCCGAAACAGAUGAUGUUUACUAAAACAAAUUGGCAUAAUAAAAGUAAUUAGAUAUACUAAUGCUGAUAUUAUUUCUUUAAACCUAGUUAAAUUAUUCUAAAAUUAGAACGGCUUUAUUUUUGGGGCGGAGGAAUUCAUUGGUUCAUAUUGGGGAUUUUUAGAUAAACCAAUCAAAAGUAAAAAGGAGAGGCGCGUGAAGCCUAACCUACGAAGGCUACGAGUAUGAAGUCGAUUAUCCAAUGAAGCCUCACUUACGAAAGCUAUGGGUGCAAAGUUACACAUCCUGUGAAGCCUUGACGAGAAGAAGAAUUGCUCCAAGCCCUUAAGAAGUCAAAGAACCUUCACUAGGUGCAUGUAUGUGCUCGUGAAGGCCAGUCGAUCAUGAGGACCCGUUAAUACCAUGGAAUUUGGAUGAACCAUUGUAUUUUAAGCCAAAAGGUGUUUGGUAGCCUUUAAAAACUCUGUAUAUAAUACUGUGGUAUUAUCGAUACUAUGGUUAUUUUGGGGUAUAGAAAACUUUGGUCCAGACCAAAGUUUCUU
rnacentral:lncRNA from 7 species